GCGAGAGUGGCGGAAUUGGCAGACGCGCUGGACUUAGGAUCCAGUGGUUGAAACCGUGGGGGUUCGAGUCCCCCCUCUCGCACCA
rnacentral:tRNA from 1 species